CAGUCGCCGCGGUAAUACGUAGGGUGCAAGCGUUAAUCGGAAUUACUGGGCGUAAAGCGUGCGCAGGCGGUUAUUCAAGACAGAUGUGAAAUCCCCGGGCUCAACCUGGGAACUGCAUUUGUGACUGGGUGACUAGAGUACGGCAGAGGGGGAUGGAAUUCCGCGUGUAGCAGUGAAAUGCGUAGAUAUGCGGAGGAACACCGAUGGCGAAGGCAAUCCCCUGGGCCUGUACUGACGCUCAUGCACGAAAGCGUGGGGAGCAAACAGGAUUAGAUACCCCCGUAGUCCCUGUCUCUUAUAC
rnacentral:rRNA from 1 species